AUGACUUUUGCAAGAGCUAGUUUCUUAAACGGAAAUUGAGUCCUAUUUUGUGGGAAAUUAGUUUUGCAGACUUUCUUUAAAAAAAAUCUAAAACUUUUGUUCAGCAGCUGCUCCGCUUUUCACUGCAGUUUCAGACUGAGCUGGAACCUGCAGCAGUCUUUCGACGGUCCCUUCAAUCCUAUGAAAAUGGAACUGUAAAACCAAAUGAAAACAGCAGUUCAGAAGUAUUCUCUGGGCCAAGACAAAACCAGCCUGGAUUUUCUCACCCUUACUCACAGUGAACAGUAGGCUACUCAGUAAAUAGUUCAUUAUUUCAAUAUGAAUAAAGGUCACCCAAUCUAGUGCUUAGGGAUUGCAUAAUAAUUUUUCAUCUGUAUUUCCUCAACCUUUUAGAAAAUAUGCACAACUCUCUCAUUCUUUUUUCACAGUUGAGAAGCUGGUGCAGAGCUAGAUCAAAUGAGUUACCCUAUACUCUUCAAUAAGGCAAAGGAAGCCAAAAAUAGAACCUCAUUUAUUUUUCUGAACGGAUUUCAAUAGAAUAAGGUAGCAUUCUAUUAGACUUUUUUUCUGUUUCUUCUCCAUCUCCAGAA
rnacentral:lncRNA from 1 species